rnacentral:rRNA from 1 species
UCGAGAAUUUUUCUCAAUGGGCGAAAGCCUGAAGGAGCGACGCCGCGUGGGGGAUGAAGGGCUUCGGCUCGUAAACCCCUGUCAUUUGCGAACAAACCUUUGCACUUAACAUGUGUAAAGCUGAUUGUAGCGAAAGAGGAAGGGACGGCUAACUCUGUGCCAGCAGCCGCGGUAAUACAGAGGUCCCAAGCGUUGUUCGGAUUUACUGGGCGUAAAGGGUGCGUAGGUGGCGGGGUAAGUCUGAUGUGAAAUCUCCGAGCUUAACUCGGAAAUGGCAUUGGAAACUGCCUUGCUAGAGUAUUGGAGGGGGGACUGGAAUACUUGGUGUAGCAGUGAAAUGCGUAGAUAUCAAGUGGAACAUCAGUGGCGAAGGCGAGUCCCUGGACAAUUACUGACACUGAGGCACGAAAGCUAGGGGAGCAAACAGG